GUUGGUGGAAACAACAAGGUUGCUGCUUGUGCAAAGCAUUUCGUUGGUGAUGGUGGCACAACAAAGGGAUUCGUCAUUUCCGAUUGGCAAGGUAUUGACAGGAUUACUUCACCAGCAGG